CUGCGCCUGCGGAGGAUGCAGCACCGUCCAACUUCCCCGGCCUUGCAGGCGGCCGGACGGUGUACCGUCCCGUGAACCGCAAUUUUGCGGAUUCAAAAUCCUUCC
rnacentral:sRNA from 12 species